UAAUUAGAUAGAUCGAAUUAUUAUUUAUUAUAUUCAGCAUAUUAAGUAAUUUAUAUAUAUAUAUAUAUAUAUAAUAAUCGUUUAGAUAUAAAUGAGAUACUUAUUAUAAUAAUAUAAUAAUUCUAAUCUUUAAUAAAUAUAUAUAUAUUUAAUAGAAAAUUAAUAUAUUCUUAAAUAUAUUUUAUAAUAUUAUUAUUAUUAAUAAUAUUAUAUAUUAAGAGACAAUCUCUAAUUGGUAGUUUUGAUGGGGCGUCAUUUUCAGCAAAAGUAUCUGAAUAAGUCCAUAUAUAAAUUAUUAUAAAAUUUUAUUUAUAAUAUAAAGUAUAUAUUAUAUAUACUAAUUAUAAAAUAUAUUAUAUAUUUUUAUAUAUAUAAUAUAAUAAUAGAAAAAUUAUAUACAGUAAAAUUGUCUGGAAAACAAUAAUAUUUAUUUAUUUUUAAUAAAUAUUAAAUUAAUAUAAUAGUAUAACUGUGUAAAGAUUAUGACACAAACAAGUGGAAUAAGUACGUAAGUAUGGUAUAAUGAACAAAUAAUACUGAUUGUAAAGGUUAUUGAUAACG
rnacentral:rRNA from 1 species